GCGCUCGCUUCGGCAGCACAUAUACUAAAAUUGGAAUGAUACAGAGAAGAUUAGGAUGGCCCCUGCACAAAGAUGACACGGAAAUUCAUGAAGUGUUAAAAAAAAAA
ensembl:snRNA U6 U6 spliceosomal RNA